AGCUGGAGGGAAUGGGCUCCCCAUUGAGGUGAUGGACUUCAUCCCUGGUGCUAUUCAAGCAGUGGCUGUGGGCUUCCAGUCAGGGAUGCAGUGAAUGAGCCUCUUAUACCAGAGAAGGAUGGAUAGAGAAAAGCAUCAUUACAAAAGUGAAAUGUGUGAAUUUUAUUCUGGCUUUGAACAUUGAGUAGACGAAGAAGACAAUUCCAGACGGAGGAAACUCCACAAGAAAUAUCAUGGAAAUUUGAAAGAACACAGUGGGCUUGGGAAGAGUUUGAAAGAAACAGCCACGGUUUGCAUGGUGUUCCAUGGUUUGUUUCUACCUUGCUGUGCAUGACCUCCACUGCUAAGGUCAUUUAUGGCCCAAGAUGAUUACUCCAGCUCCAGCCAUCACAUCUGUAUUCCAUCCUGCAGAAAGGAAGAAAGAAGGUGCUUCCAAGACCAAGAUAACCAGGCAAUCAUAGUAGAUGCAUCAAUGCACCCUUGCCCAAGGGCCUAGACAAGAGGUAUUGUUUAGCUUCGCAUGAAUUUUAUCACCUUGCCUAGAACCAGCCACCAUCUGCCAGGGCUCCUGACUUUUUCUGAAAUGAAUAGACACUAAAGCCUGCUGGGGAAUUUCAUGGAAAUCAAGAUGACUCAACCCAGAGUCCAUUUCAAGGCUAGGAUGCUAGAGGACGCCAACAAAGGAGUAGGGAAGUGAAACGGAUCAGCUCACAUCCAAGCCCUUGCAUGAUCAAUCCUGCAGUAGGAGUGCUGCUCAGUUGGGACUCAUGAGAGCCCGGAAGAGGAAAAAGCAGCUCUAAGCAUAGCAAAGAAGCUGUUAUGGAAAAGACCCAAAUGUUAAAAUGGUGGACAUAGUAAAGUGAUUGGUUCUGCUUAGGGGAAUCUAGAUCCCCACAUUUUGACCUCCACUGGAGUCUCAGAAGAACAAGUGCCAGGGGGGCUUGCCACAGAGGCCAAGGCAGUGAAUGUCAGGCACAUCACAGUCCCCAAGAUGGGGAGAAGACUGAGAUGCAGGGUAACAACUGCAAUCCAUUCAUGGGAGCCAUGUUUAUCUUAAAUCAUUGACAGUGAGAUAAGGAUCAUGUCAGCCUUCAUACCUUUGAUGAUGAUCCCAGGCUGCAACAGUGACACAUAGAACUGGAUUCAGUAACUAACUACAGAUUCCAUCAACCAGGACUAGUAAAGUGAAAGGCAGAAAUUGGGAGGAGGGGUUUCUUUCUUGCUUAUAAAACUUUAUUUGGUUGUGUUGAGUAUGUGCAUGUAUGUAUGAAAUCCCAUAAAGCAGUCUUCUUAGGAACAAGCCAACAUGCCACAAUGUAGGAGAUCUUUGGAGCACUGGCCUAAAUGGCAGAGAGCUCAAGGGACUCUGCUUUGUACAAGGCAUGAUUUGUACCACCACCACUAUCCCUGUUUCAGAGCACUGUUGAAUUGUUCCAAACCUGGAUUUCUAUGUCAGCUCCCUGUCUAUAGUACUUGACUGAUAAAUGCUAGUUUCUGAAAUCUGCUUUGGUUCUAUAAUUUAUUAGACAGCUUUUUCUUCCCAUUUUAUUACUUGUUUUUACUGUCAUUGGUAUAUUAUCUCUUACAGUGAAAACAUUCAUAGGCUGAUUGAAGAGAAGAUCUGAAAUUAUUAGGCAGCAAGCAUACAAAACCCUUGCUUUAUAAAGAUAAUAUCUUAAAGGCCUAAUGUCUAUGGUUCAAAGCAGCCUGGAGAUGUUGGCUAAAUCUUCCAUCAUAGAGUCCUCAUGGGAUCUGGAAGCUCUGAUUUAUCUUCCUUCAGGCCCUAUAAGUUAGCUUUCCACAUCUGUAGGUUCCACAAUCAACCUUGGAUCAAAAACAUUUGAAA
rnacentral:lncRNA from 10 species